UGCCGAAACCCGGAAUCGAACCAGGGAUCUUAUCUUCAGUCUAACGCUCUCUCCCAACUGAGCUAUUUCGAC